rnacentral:rRNA from 1 species
UACGGAGGAUCCGAGCGUUAUCCGGAUUUAUUGGGUUUAAAGGGUGCGCAGGCGGGAUGUUAAGUCGGCGGUGAAAUUUUGCAGCUCAACUGUAAAAGUGCCUUCGAAACUGGUUUCCUUGAGUGUAGAUGAAGUAGGCGGAAUUUGUGGUGUAGCGGUGAAAUGCAUAGAUAUCACGAGGAACUCCGAUUGCGCAGGCAGCUUACUAAACUACUACUGACGCUCAGGCACGAAGGCGUGGGGAUCAAACAGGAUUAGAUACCCCGGUAGUCCCU